CCUACGGGAGGCAGCAGUGAGGAAUAUUGGUCAAUGGGCGGAAGCCUGAACCAGCCAAGUAGCGUGCAGGAUGACGGCCCCACGGGUUGUAAACUGCUUUUAUCCGGGAACAACGCGCCUUACGUGUAGGGCUUUGCAGGUACCGUAUGAAUAAGGAUCGGCUAAUUCCGUGCCAGCAGCCGCGGUAAUACGGAAGGUCCGGGCGUUAUCCGGAUUUAUUGGGUUUAAAGGGUGCGUAGGCCGGAUGUCAAGCGUGCUGUGAAAUGGCCGGGCUCAACCCGGGCCUUGCAGCGCGAACUGGCGUGCUUGAGACCGCGGGAGGCAGGCGGAAUUCGUAGUGUAGCGGUGAAAUGCUUAGAUAUGGCGAAGAACCCCGAUUGCGAAGGCAGCUUGCUGCAGCGGAGCUGACGCUGAGGCUCGAAAGCGCGGGUAUCGAACAGGAUUAGAUACCCGGGUAGUC
rnacentral:rRNA from 1 species